rnacentral:rRNA from 1 species
AUUGAACGCUGGCGGCAUGCUUUACGCAUGCAAGUCGAACGGUAACAGGCCGCAAGGUGCUGACGAGUGGCGAACGGGUGAGUAAUGCAUCGGAACGUGCCCAGUCGUGGGGGAUAACGCAGCGAAAGCUGUGCUAAUACCGCAUACGAUCUAUGGAUGAAAGCGGGGGACCGUAAGGCCUCGCGCGAUUGGAGCGGCCGAUGUCAGAUUAGGUAGUUGGUGGGGUAAAGGCCCACCAAGCCAACGAUCUGUAGCUGGUCUGAGAGGACGACCAGCCACACUGGGACUGAGACACGGCCCAGACCCAUACGGGAGGCAGCAGUGGGGAAUUUUGGACAAUGGGCGCAAGCCUGAUCCAGCAAUGCCGCGUGCAGGAAGAAGGCCUUCGGGUUGUAAACUGCUUUUGUACGGAACGAAACGGUCCGGGCUAAUACCCUGGGCUAAUGACGGUACCGUAAGAAUAAGCACCGGCUAACUACGUGCCAGCCGCCGCAGUAACAC